rnacentral:rRNA from 1 species
UACGGAGGGAGCUAGCGUUGUUCGGAAUUACUGGGCGUAAAGCGCACGUAGGCGGCUUCGCAAGUUAGAGGUGAAAGCCCGGGGCUCAACCCCGGAAUUGCCUUUAAAACUGCAUCGCUUGAAUCCGGGAGAGGUGAGUGGAAUUCCGAGUGUAGAGGUGAAAUUCGUAGAUAUUCGGAAGAACACCAGUGGCGAAGGCGGCUCACUGGACCGGUAUUGACGCUGAGGUGCGAAAGCGUGGGGAGCAAACAGG